rnacentral:tRNA from 1 species
GCAUGGGUGUCAGAUGGGUGUCACAAAAGAUUUAAAAGGUGCUUUAUAAUCGAAUGUAAUGGGAUUUUUGUACUACUUUCGGGACGCAGAGGUCGCAGGUUCGAAUCCUGUCGCCUGCA